AACGAACGCUGGCGGCAUGCCUAACACAUGCAAGUCGAACGAGACCUUCGGGUCUUGUGGCGCACGGGUGCGUAACGCGUGGGAACCUGCCCUUAGGUUCGGAAUACCUCCCCGAAGGGGGUGCUAAUACCGGAUAAUGUCUUCGGACCAAAGAUUUAUCGCCUUUGGAUGGGCCCGCGUUGGAUUAGCUGGUUGGUAGGGUAAAAGCCUACCAAGGCGACGAUCCAUAGCUGGUCUGAGAGGAUGAUCAGCCACACUGGGACUGAGACACGGCCCAGACUGCUACGGGAGGCAGCAGUGGAGAAUAUUGGACGAGGAGCGAAAGCCUGAUCCAGCAAUGCCGCGUGAGUGAUGAAGGCCUUAGGGUUGUAAAGCUCUUUUACCCGGGAUGAGAAUGACAGUACCGGGAGAAUAAGCUCCGGCUAACUCCGUG
rnacentral:rRNA from 1 species